rnacentral:misc_RNA from 1 species
UCUCCGUUGGUGAACCAGUGGAGGGAUCAUUACAGGACUCGCAAGACUCCUACAACCCUGUGAACUUAACUAUAAGCACGUUGCUUCGGCGGGUGUCUCGGAGGGGGUUCUCCCUCCCCGAGACGCUAAACCCGCCGGCAGCCUACUAUACUCUGUCUCUUUGCGUUGGCAUCUCGAGUACAAUCAAACAAGUUAAAACUUUCAACAACGGAUCUCUUGGUUCUG